ensembl:lncRNA
CAGAAGGAAUAACUGAGGAGAUGAAGACCAUGUAAUCAUGUGCUCCACACCUUCAGGAGCUUUGUGUCUUUGCAUCUCCAGCUUGUGCAUUCUAUCCCAGUGGCACUGCACAAAGACUCAGCGUACAUCCAAAUGCCCAGAAGGCAAUUUCAUUGCCUACGGAUGCAGUGACACGACUGAGGUCACCUGAAGUCUGCGUCAGAGAAAGGAACUGAGCCCAUGGCUCACGCAGCAGGGACCAAACGUCACAGCGUGGGGCUGGAUGCACUUCAUGGAAAUGGAUUUCAUGGUUGAAAAAGGGCCCAGUGUAAAUCCUCCAGUACUGAGAUCAGCAGGGCAUCUUUUGUGUCCUCCCUUCCCAGGGCACCUGUGCAGCUUACUGGGAGAAGCACAGCUGGAAUUUCUUCAUUUGCCUUUGGAUUCCCAUUCACAUGCUGGCCAUACAAAACUCUCUUUUCUUUUUACUGUUCCCAGAAAUAACAUUUUCCAAUGAUUUUUUAAUUUUUGUUUCCAUUUCCAGAGCAGGUCAGAAUGUCGUGAAGAGCUGUGACAUACCCAAAGGCCACUUUGUGCUCACGCUAUGGGCUGUGCUUAGUUGGGGAUGCACCAGCAUGAGGGCAAACUCCGCGUUGCAGGAAGCAUUUAGAAGUGCAGAACUCACAACCAUUGGUGCCAAGUGAAUGGAGGACACAUCUGAGAACUCAACGUUUUUUAGACUAAUUCCAGCAGAAAAUAACAAGAUUUCUGCCCAUGCCAGAGAUGGUUUUCAGAUGCUGUUGGUGCUAUGCCCAAUGCAGCUGAUUCACCUACUGUGGCAUUGCUGUGUUCCUGGCCCACUGCAGCCAAGCAGACCCCUGGAGCUGUGCCAGAAAGUAGGUAAGUAAGAUCCCAAGAUGCCCCUUUCAACUGAGUGAUGCAUUUCAGCUUUUCUUCCAAGCCUUCCAGAAGGCACGAGCCCCUCUCCACAGGUAUUAUUAUGGGGCACACUCAAAACAGCUGCCUUUGCCUGGGAAUCGGAGAAGGGAGUUCAGCAAGUCCCCUUGAAUCUCCAGCUGCAGUAGUAUGUUGUUAUGAACCUCUACCAGAGCACUCGUAGUGCAGCUGGAGAGUCUGUCUGACAUUGCCUCCAGUGACCUUUUCACUAUAGCCCAAGUGCUGUGGAGCUGGUGUUUCAAGAGAAAUUCAAAUCGAAUUUACUCAGGCAGAAAGGAUUGGCCUGAGGAUAGCCCUUCCACUGCUUAGUGGUUCUCCUUGUCGUUCUCAUGGAAAUUGCAAUUCUUUAUGCAUGGUUCUUCUUCCUGCACCGCAGCAAAUGCAUCCACUCGAGCAGUGGCCCCAAAAUGAAGGCAUAACCCAUUACAAGGUCACAACAUGGCCACGAGUCCUGGAACCCCAAACUGGCUGGUGGACAUCAGGCAUCCACCUUGUGUUCCAGGAUGCAGCUUGUGUACGUGGGAUGCGAGCAGCAGAGAUUUGUGUAGGCUUUGGGGCAUGGGGGAUUUGACACAGGGCUCGGUAGGGCAAGGGGCAGUGGGGCAGCUCAUUGGUGCUCCUGAUGGCAAAGGGCUGAGUCCCUGGUUUGCAUGAGCAAAGUGUGUGCUGGGGGAACGCUGCGUUUCUUCAUGCGCUUUCCUGGCACGGUGCGAUUAUUUCACACAUGUUUGUAUGAGAGCUGCUUUAAAAUGUAAUUUCUUUGAUUAAUUUGG